rnacentral:tRNA from 1 species
UAGCUCAGUCGGUAAAGAAUCUGCCUGCAGUGCAGGAGGCCCAGGUUCAAUCCCUGG